GGGCGUGUAGCUCAGCGGGAGAGCGCCUCGUUGACAUCGAGGAGGUCCCAGGUUCAAUCCCUGGCACGCCCACCA
rnacentral:tRNA from 1 species